GCUGGUUAAGCUCAGAGGCAGAGCAGUUGAUUUGUAAUUAAAAGGCCGUAGGUUCGAAUCCUACAACCAGCA
rnacentral:tRNA from 1 species